GCCCUUGUAGCUCAGUUGGUAGAGCGCAUCCUUGGUAAGGAUGAGGUCGCCGGUUCAAUCCCGGCCGAGGGCU
rnacentral:tRNA from 1 species